GAUUCGUGGCACUUUUGCUUCAGAAUCCUUGAGAACAGCAGUGGAAUUAACCCUUAAUUGCCUAGUUAACGACCCGAAAGAGCGCCCUUCGAUAGAUGAUAUUCUUUGGAAUCUGCAGUACUCGGUUCAGGUCCAAGAUGGAUGGGCUAGCAGCGAGAAUCUCAGCACUCAAUCGUAGCCCUUGAGCCUACCGUUAUAAUUGUACUCCCGCUUUAGUGCAGCGGCAAAUAGUGCGUGCCUCUUUUAGAGAG
rnacentral:misc_RNA from 1 species